rnacentral:rRNA from 1 species
UACGUAGGGUGCGAGUGUUAAUCGGAAUUACUGGGCGUAAAGCGUGCGCAGGCGGUUUUGUAAGCCAGAUGUGAAAUCCCCGGGCUCAACCUGGGAAUGGCAUUUGGGACUGCAAGGCUGGAGUUUGGCAGAGGAGACUGGAAUUCCUGGUGUAGCAGUGAAAUGCGUAGAUAUCAGGAGGAAUACCGAUGGCGAAGGCAGGUCUCUGGGCUGAUAACUGACGCUCAUGCACGAAAGCG